UGAAAUCUUGCCAUUUGCAACUACAUGGAUGGAACUAGAGGGUAUUCUGCUGAGCGAAAUUAAGGAAAGACAAAUGUAUGACUUCACUCAUAUGAGGACUUCAAGAUACAAAACAGAUGAACAUAAGGGAAGGGAAGCAAAA